rnacentral:rRNA from 1 species
ACAUGCCUACAACAUAGUGUUAAUGCAUUGUAUCCCAUUAGAACUCCGUAGUUAAGUGCACUAGAGCUAGACUAGUACUGGGAUGGGUGAUCUCCCAAGAAGUCCUAGUGUUUUACAUGCC